rnacentral:ncRNA from 1 species
AAGAUAUUGGAGAGAAGGUUAGCACUCCCCUUAGAAGGAUGGAAGAGGUCCUAGUGGCCUUUACAACACAUAUAUGGUUAAGGCAUUGCCACCUACUUUGUGGCAUCUAACCAAGUUUUCCC